rnacentral:lncRNA from 1 species
CAAGGGUCUCAAGGCCUACAAGAGGAAAAGCGCCGCAACUUCUGGGUCGGCGAAGAAGGCGAGGGUAGAGGAGACAAGCUCGGCCAUGCUCGCCCAGACGGCCAUUAUCGGUGAUACCCCCUCCAACAUUGAGCCCGCAGUCUCCCGAGCUUCUUCAAGAAGCCCUCUGACCAAGGUUCCUGCUCUAGAGUCUUGUCCCGAGGAGGCACCGGGG